GCUAUUGACUAAGAAAAGUUCUCUCCAUGUAAUAGGGAAGCUGCUGUAACCUGAUGUAUAGAGAGAAGUCCAUAAGAAAUUUAUGUGUUGAAAAGCAAGAAUUUUUUCUUCUGUCGAUUGCUGAGAGUUGAGUUAGUUCUUGUCUCUACUAAAAAUAGUUGCCCUUUCUUUGUUUCUUUCUGCCUUGAUCCAACGCAUAUACUACCUCAUACUUGCUCUAUGAACACGUUACGCUUUUAUUUGGUAGCCUUAUUGUUAUGUGUUGCCUGUAGGUGAA
rnacentral:misc_RNA from 1 species